AUUAUUAUGAGAUGAACUUAUACAAAAUGUAACUAAUAAUAUGAGUGCGAAAUAACUUAGCAUUAUAUUAAUUCGUUUGUUUGUAUAAUUUUUUUUUCUUUUUCUAUAUGUGAUAUACAUUCAAUUUAUAUUUAUAUUUAAAAGUUAGGUACGUGUACAUUGACAAAUAUAAAAUGGAUUGCGUAUUUCAUAAUAAAAAUGUGAAGUGUUUUA